GUCUCGGAUAGCUUAACUGGUAAAGCCCUUGGCGCGUAACCGAAAGAUCUGGGUUCGAUUCCCAGUCUAGGCU
rnacentral:tRNA from 1 species